rnacentral:lncRNA from 1 species
UUACGUGUUCAUGCAUAUUACCUGCGGAUUCCAAUUGCCAUGCAUGCACGCGUUUUAGGGUUUGAUGACAAUACGUUGUCAAUUUAAGCUAGCGCGCAUUUUCAAAUUUGGUUGUGGUUCGAUUCCUGGCAAAUGUAUUAUUUCAAAUGCCAUGCUGAUUUUCCAUUUCCCUCCUAUUUCAUAUCCAUGCUUCACAUCUUUUUUUUUAUUUUU